CGUCAGGUAGUUCAGUGAUUUAAAGCAGUCGCCCAGCACGCGAAAGGACCCGGGUUCGAUUCCCGGUCUAGCGA
rnacentral:tRNA from 1 species